GCUUAUGGCCAUACCACCCUGAGAACGCCCGAUCUCGUCCGAUCUCGGAAGCUAAGCAGGGUCGGGCCUGGUUAGUACUUGGAUGGGAGACCGCCUGGGAAUACCAGGUUCUGUAAGCU
rnacentral:rRNA from 1 species